rnacentral:rRNA from 1 species
UACGUAGGGCGCGAGCGUUGUCCGGAAUUAUUGGGCGUAAAGAGCUCGUAGGCGGCCUGUUGCGUCUGCUGUGAAAUCCCGGGGCUUAACCCCGGGCGUGCAGUGGAUACGGGCUGGCUGGAGGCAGGCAGGGGAGAACGGAAUUCCCGGUGUAGCGGUGAAAUGCGCAGAUAUCGGGAGGAACACCGGUGGCGAAGGCGGUUCUCUGGGCCUGUUCUGACGCUGAGGAGCGAAAGCGUGGGGAGCAAACAGG